rnacentral:rRNA from 1 species
ACUCCUACGGGAGGCAGCAGUGGGGAAUUUUGGACAAUGGGCGAAAGCCUGAUCCAGCAAUGCCGCGUGCAGGAUGAAGGCCUUCGGGUUGUAAACUGCUUUUGUACGGAACGAAAAAGCUCCUUCUAAUACAGGGGGCCCAUGACGGUACCGUAAGAAUAAGCACCGGCUAACUACGUGCCAGCAGCCGCGGUAAUACGUAGGGUGCGAGCGUUAAUCGGAAUUACUGGGCGUAAAGCGUGCGCAGGCGGUUAUGUAAGACAGAUGUGAAAUCCCCGGGCUCAACCUGGGAACUGCAUUUGUGACUGCAUGGCUAGAGUACGGUAGAGGGGGAUGGAAUUCCGCGUGUAGCAGUGAAAUGCGUAGAUAUGCGGAGGAACACCGAUGGCGAAGGCAAUCCCCUGGACCUGUACUGACGCUCAUGCACGAAAGCGUGGGGAGCAAACAGGAUUAGAAACCCCAGUAGUCCCA